rnacentral:rRNA from 1 species
GAUGAACGCUGACGGAAUGCUUAACACAGAAUAACUGUUUGGGUGGCGGUCGGGUGAGUAACGCGUAUAGCACUUACCUCACAGCUAGGGACAACAUUUGGAAACGAAUGCUAAUACCUAAUACUGUGAGAGAGCUUUGCGUCCAAUUAGCUAGUUGGAGAGGUAACGGCUCACCAAGGCGAUGAUGGGUAGCCGGCCUGAGAGGGUGAUCGGGCACAAGGGGACAGAGAAGCCGCCCUUACGCAUAAGUGAGGCAGGAGUGGGGAAUAUUGGACAAUGGACCAAAGUCUGAUCCAGCAAUUCUGUGUGCAAGAUGAAGUUUUCGGAAUGAAAAGUGCGUUGAGAAUGGAAGCGGUACCAACAGAAGAAGCGACGGCUAAAUACGUGCCAGCAGCCGCGGUAAUAC